UAACAUCCUUAAAUUAAUUGAUUUCUUGUUGCAUUUCGGCUGGCCCUUUUUAAUUAGUUGUUUUUUGAUAGACUUGGUUAUCACUGACCUAUGUCGUAUGUUUUGCUCCCUGUUGUCAACUUUUGACCUACUGUGAUUCAGUGUUUUGAUUGCCAUACCUGACUUGAGAAUGAGGCUCAGAUGUAGAAUCUAUGUACUCAAACAAAACAAAACAAGCUUUAUUUGCAUUCAAUUGAUUCCACUUGUGCAAAGUAAAAACUUUUUUUUUUCUAAUUUUAUAUGUUUUUUGAAAAGAGACACUUUUUAUUAAAAAGCAUUGACAAAAUUAUAACAAAAUAAUCUUGGGAUUUAAAAAAAAAAAAUAUUUCUGUGUCAUGGCUUAAGUAAUAAUUAAAAUAAAUACUUUUAACCAUAAUGUCAUUAAGAUUA